AGCACAGAACUUGUCACUGUGGCUCACGGCCAACCACAGGCCCAGCCCACCCUCCAGGCCCUCUCGGCCAGCUAUAUUUUAUUUUCUUCUUUGGUACAGGAAACCUAGGCCUGGACCUCUGCCUCCACAGUCUGGUCGCAGCGCUCACCCUGGGUGUGUGUACCCUGUUUACUCCCAACUUCUUCACGUUCUGCUAUCCCGGUUUGGUGACAUUAGCCCAACUCAGUCUAAAUGCACGCCAGUUCUCUUUGGUUUGAGUAGGCCUGAAAUCAGUUUUGCACCAUGUUUACAACACAGGAAGGUUCAGUUUAAAAGAAGGGCUUUUCAGAUUCCUUGCCAAACCUGUAACAUCUGUCAACACUGAGUGAGGACAAAAUCCUGCUUCACCUUGGCCGGUAUAGAUGUCAGCCCAAAGUUGGCACAGUUUCUCUGGUGUCCUGCAACAGCCAUGGCUUAUACACUGCCCCGGGGCACAUGGCAGCAGGUCCUUGAGCUGAAGGCUGGUCUCCAAAACUCUAGGGAUAUAGUGACCACCUCGCCUCUCCCAUUAGGCCUCUCCUCUCUGCAACCAUUGUUGCCCUGGGGCUGUGGUGAACUUGAAUGGUCCCUUAAUUAGGUGAAGUCCAGCCAAGCUCUGCUAACUCUGCACUCUGAAAGUCUCAGCGAUCUUACUGAAUUCAGUCACAACUGGCCAGGACUGGUCACUCACUGGGCAGCCAGCUGCCUCCCUGAGGCACCAACAGCAGCAGAGGAAACCUAUGGAGGUCACACCUCUCGAGGCCAGGCUAGACCCUGGUUCCUGAGCUGCCUGUACUCCAAGUCCCCUCCUAUGCUUCAGGUCAGACAUAGUGGGGCUUUGAAAUCCCUACAGAAGCCCGUCUCCAGCACCUUUCCAGGACUAGCCCCCAGCAGGUACUCAGAAGAGGGCCCUUUGAACUACUCUAUCAGGUCACACCUCUGGGUCCCAGGUUAAAGGAGGAUGGAUAGGCAGGCUAGGGUCUGCCACUCACACCGACACUGCACAAAAAAGGGAAACCCAGGAGAGAAUAAAUACACAUCUAGGUCUAGCCUCAGCUGGCUGGCCCUUUGGAAGAUGUUGGGGAGUUACUGCUCCUGCCAGAUUCCCGCUGGACUGUAUUGGAGCAUGUGCCCCUAUGGUCCAAAGUAGGACAUAUUCCUGUCCUGGGCUCACAGGCCUCCAGUCCCAAGCAGUGGACCACCCUUUCAGACCCACUGAUUUCACGCUAUGGAUUACGAAACCUGUUUGAGUAGUUCUAUUCUGAUUCAGCUCAUAUGCCAGAAAAAACUCUACCUCCUCCAGGAAGCUUCCCCUGAUUUUCAAGGUAGAAUCCUUCCAUCUGUCCGUCCCUGACUCUGUCUGUCUCCUGAGCAGUGCUCUCAAUUAAGGCAGAGCUCUUUGGGACACAGAGGAACUCUGCCCUAGUGGCCUCUCUGAGGGCACAGAGGGACAAGUGCCUGGCCAUUCCACCUGAGGCAGUGACACAGGUGGGUAGCACCCACUCCAAAGGUUCCUCAAGGCUUAGUGUCUACCUGUCUCUGACAGAGUUCAGAUCUGAAUUCCCCUCUCAGCCUCCACUUCCAGAAAGCCCCAAAUGGGGCAGUCAUCAAUCCAUGACAACUGACCUGCUGUAGCAAAAGGGCUGACUUCUGUUUGCAAGAAGGGUGGAGGGCUAUUUGGCCUCAGGGGCAUUCUAUCAUUCCCCUUGUUCAUUUUGCAAAGGAUGCGUGCUCUAUGCUGCUGGCAUUGCUUCGGGCAGAGGCAGGAAGCAUCCUCCAGGAGGCCUGGUGAUAGUGGAUACUGGCCCUGCCUCUUCUGAGGUGCAGCCUCUUCUGUCUCUCAGCUUAUGGUUCCAGACCCAAGGUAGCCAUGGGACACACAGAAACUUGUGAGCACUGUGGGCUGAAGGAGUAGCAAGGAACACUUGGAGAAGGGUGAGGGUGGGCUUCAGAAAGACAAGAUCCACACAGGACCCAGGGAAUAAGGACUGACUGAAACAGCAUUGCCUGUGCCCGUGUGGGUGGGAUGCAGACCCUGGGAGGUAUGGGAAGGAAGUCCUGUGGCCGGAGGGUAGAGGCUCAGGGGGACAGAGCUGAGAAGCUGGCCAGGCUGAUUCUUCAGGGCAAGCAGCAUCUGGCUCACCAUGUAGGUAACCACAAGAUCAUUAGGUUGGAAGAGACAGUGGCAGGAAAGACACUGUCCUCUGUGCCUAGGCCAGAGACGAUGCAGGCAGAAGACACGGGAAAAGAGAAGAGGCGAAACGUACAGUGACUGCGAGUGAACCAAUCACAGGGGCUCCUGGGUGGGGAAUCCUGCACUGAGUCAGGAGGCCGGAAGCUGGGCUUGAGGAAGAGCGUGUGCCCAGAACACAGGGAGCACAUUCAGGAUGUGGCGGCCUCUGCAGAGCAGGGGGGUCUUCUGGUACAACUGGACCGUGACUCCCAUCACCUGGCAUGCCUAGUGGGGGUCAUGUGUAGUCCCAGGAAGAAUUCUGUUCCUUCUACAGACUAACACGAGAGUGGAAGAAGAGCAGACAAGCCUGGUGGUGCACCCCUGUCACACCAGCACUUGGGAAGCUGGCUGAGGAGAAUUGCUGGAGCGGGGUCCUGUCAGUCAAAAGGCAGACAACCAGAGCCCCAAACCUGUCUAAAGCAGCAGGAAGGAUUUUCCGCACCGCCGGAGGGAAAGACAUCCAUCUCUUUCUGACAAGUCCUCCAGGAAGUGCCAACAAUGUACCAGGUGCUGCCCAGAGCCCAGAACUCCUCAGGGUGGGGUGCUCAGGUUUGGGAAGGCCUGGGGAGAAAUUUGGCUCCAGAAAAUUCCCUGACUCAUACAAAAAGCCAAGUAGAUACUAUCAGAGUCUGCCUGCUGGGCCUGCCCCAGCCUCUCACAGUGGCGGCGGCGGUGACACGGAGGACCCGGAGGACAGGAUGGGUCUUGAGAGGAAAGAGAUUGGCCAUGAUCUCCGGAUCCCACUCAGUCCAUGCCGUAGGGCACCCGUUACCAAAGUGUGGGUCACGCUCCACAGCAUCCAGGGGUCAUCUCAUUCUACAUGUUGUUUCCCUAUGUUGAACAUCACUGUUUCUGUCCAUGACCCCCAGUCAGGAGCCACACUGAAGCUAUCCGAGCUUCUCAACAGGAUCGGGACUUCCUGCUUGUUGGGCUGGAUCACCUCUGCCGAGCCCUCCUCAGGAAUGUGCCUCUGUCUAGGAAUGCACCACCCUCCAGGAUCUUGGGUCUAUUCAUCUGCACAGGUCUGGCCUACCUCAGCAGGACAUUCUUUUUUGGUUCUUUGUUUUCUAGCAAGGCUGACAUGGCUAACUCUGGCUCCUCAGUGAGGUUUUCCCUGACCACCAAAAUGGAAGUCGCCCACUGGUCACUGUUUCUAGCUGCCAGCAGCCCCCUCUCCAGUUCCCACCAGAUAUCUCCCCAGUUCCUAUCAGGCAACUGCUCCAGUUCCUAUCAAUCCACGCUCCCCAGUUCCUACAAGUCACCCCCACACACACAGUCAACCCCCCCAAGUUCCUAUGAGUCAACCCCCCAGUUCCCAUCAGUCAACCCCCAGUUCCUAUCACUCAACCCCCUAGUUCCCAUCGGUCCCUGCUUAGUUCCCACAGCCACUCCCACCAGUCAGUACUCCCAGUUCCCACCAGCUACUUCUCCUAGUUCCCACUAGUCACUCCUCCCAGUUCACACCAACCAUUGGUAAGGAUCAGCUGGUGACUUGAUCCAGUCGCAACCAAUCAGAGUAAGUCUUGGGAAUUGGGUGUGAACUGAAAAUAUGUUGGUUGUUUCUCACUAGAGAUGAACAAAAGGGAAAGUGAAGCCCACAGCUGUGGACAGACAUCUGGCCAGCUCGGGAAGCUGAAUCUGGUACCAACUAAGAGAGCAAGAUGGGAAGUAGGGAUGCAUGUAGCUGGGAAUAGUGUUUGUGCCCAGGAUCAAGCUGGACCUGGAUUCACUGUCAGAGGACCCUUCAGUCCCAGGAAUCAGCAAGUUCUCUGUCCUUGAGCCAGCUGGAGGUGUGUUAAUACAGUGUGUGUGUGUGUG